UCACGCUGGGAUUUGCCCAACAUAAUGAAUUGGAGGGGAGCGGUGGGGCACGAUUCAGUCCACUGCACACCGUUCUCCUCUCCAGACCUCUCACUGGCAAGUCCUUUCAUCUCAAUUUCAGUUCUGUGAGGCCGUCCUACUAUUGUCUAUCACCCUGUUUGAUUUUUUUGUAGCCUCAUCAUUUAUUCAUUACAGUUUCUUAAGUUCUUUUUUUUAGGGAGCUUGUCAUUGCCUAGAAGAGUGCUGGGCACACAAUAGUGAUACUGAAUAUACAACUAAAAUCAUGUAAUAUAGCACAUGAGAUUCUUAAUGCUAAAAUUAAGACUUUUUAACAUGAAAAAUGCUCUUAAGGGCAGAAAUGAAGCAAAUUUCAGGCAAGAUGGCAGACAAGACUGAAACGGAUUCAUCCAUCAACUGCUACAGACUUAAAAAACAAAAUAUGCCCAAUGCAAAGCUGAGCUCAGGAAAUCCUCAGAUGCUAGAGAUAAAGACAAAAUCCAGUUGCAGAAGUGAGUUCCAGGUGAUGCCAGGAGACCCCAGGAAGUAUCAGAUUAGGUCACAAAACUAGGAAUAAGGUUUUAAUGUCUUCAGAAAAACAGAGCAUUUGGUGAGAGAAGGGAACUAAUCCGAGACUCCCGCAUACAACCAGGACACUUGAAGGGCUGCCUCACCUGUGAAAAAGAAACUGGAAAAAUCUCUUCAAAUCUGUCUGUGGAAACAGAAAGACAGCCUGGUGUUUGACAAAGCUCUCGGUGGGACAAACCUCCUCUGAGAAAUGGAAACCUAGGAAAUCAAAAGCCCAGAAAUUAAGGGAAAGCAUUAGUCUCAGAUAAUGAAAAGGAAACCCUUGGGGCCCGGGCCAAAGCAAAUGUAAAAACAUGAACACUUGCAUAAUCUCGUACAUGGGACUCACAGAAAAUGCAACCCCUAAUAUAGAUGAGCUCGCAAUGAAAAAUUAUCCACCACUGUGGCAAUGCAGUCACCAAAAGGAAGACUCAACAGACCAAUGAGCAUAGACACGAGCUGUGGAGGUAACAACUGGAAACAGAAGAAUAAAAUCUCAAGAUAAAUAAUUUAAAAAUACUUAACAUGGAAAAAUAUUUCACUUAAAAAAUAUAACUUUUAGAAAAAAUAUAGUAUCAUUAACUUAAAAAUUCAGUAGCUAGGUUGAACAAUAAAUUCACCACAAAUGAAAAGAGAAUUAGAGAUCUGGAUCACGGAGCUGGAAGAUGAAUGCAGAGGCAGCACAGGGAGGUAAAGCAAUGGAAAAGAUCGCAGGGAGUCCCAAGACCCGGGAUGCUCCCUCGAGUCACUCACAGGAGCUCCAGAGGAAAGGACAGAUCAUGGGGAAAGGCAAUAUUUGAAGCAACAAUGACUGGGAAUUUUUCAUAAUUAAGAAAGAUGUAAAUAUUCAGAGGGAAAAUGCAGAUCUAGACACUUUUCAGAAACACUAUGAAACUCCAAAGUCAAGGAAAAGAUUAAAAGCAACUAGAAACAAAAGACAGUUUACAAUAAAAGAUCCAAAUUAGAUGGAAAUUACAUGUCUCAUUAAUAAAAUAGAGGUCAGAGAAAAGGGUAAAAAAUGUUCAACAUGCUCAAAGAACAAAAGUUAUUCAUCUACAAUACAACUUAGUAAAAUUAUCAUUCAAAAAUAAAGACAAAUCAAAUGUAUUUGACUAAGACUGAAGGGUAUUUUUUUAACCCCUGGAUCAUCAACUUUACCAAAGGAUAAAAUUUAUUAAAAAUAUGAUCAGCUUGUCGAAAGAAUGAAUCAAUGACACUCUGUCUUCGUGGAGAGCAGCCUGGGUGUGGAAUCAGGCACCCCCGGGUUCAAAGCCAUCACUGUGAUUGAAGAACAGAAGUCAUUCGUGAAGGACACAGCACACACAGCCCAGAGAGCUCGCAGGUUAAAACUGCACAUGGAGCAAUGUCUGCCAGCCAUUCAGGGUACUUCAAAAUAGUUGGAGUAGGGAAGCCAGAGGGAGUGCCUCCCAGACAGGAAGGGGCAGCAGAGGCAGGAGAGACAGGGGCAUGGGCCGAAGAAGUUUCAGGUCACAGCAGAGCCUGACAGUGACCAGCUCAAAGCCAGGGAAAGGAUGGCAGAUGCAGCUCAGGAGCACUGGUGUGAGCUGAGCUUUGGGAGUCAGCCAGCACCCACAAACCUGCAACAGUCAGCAGGUGCUAUGAAUGCUAAGAGAACAGACCAAAG
rnacentral:lncRNA from 1 species